rnacentral:rRNA from 1 species
UACGUAGGGUGCGAGCGUUAAUCGGAAUUACUGGGCGUAAAGCGUGCGCAGGCGGUUUUGUAAGCCAGAUGUGAAAUCCCCGGGCUUAACCUGGGAAUGGCAUUUGGGACUGCAAGGCUUGAGUGCGGCAGAGGGAGACUGGAAUUCCUGGUGUAGCAGUGAAAUGCGUAGAUAUCAGGAGGAAUACCGAUGGCGAAGGCAGGUCUCUGGGCUGACACUGACGCUCAUGCACGAAAGCGUGGGAGCAACAGG